AGCGCAGGGAAGGGCAGAGGUUGGAGGAGCCAGUCCAACCAGUCAGAGCCCAGUUGUGCCUCCCAGUUGUGCUCACUCAGCACCUGGGGCUGUUCCCAGCCACACAAACCCGGCGUGAGCAGAGCUCAGCACUGCCCAGGGCCUGCACACUGCCAGGGGCUCACACACCAUCAGCCUCGGGGUCACAGCGAUCCACAGGCCAUGGAAAUGUCCUGCAGGCCCCAGGCUGAGCUUCCUGCAGCAGCGCAGAGGGCUGGGCUGGGUGCGGGUGCUGGAUCACCCCAGUCACAGAAUCGGCGCCCAAACCCCGCAGAUCAGCAGCAGCAGGGCCACAGAGCAGCCCCCACAGGGCCCUGGAUCGCAGCUGUGCCCUGCAGGGACCCAGAGCCUCCUUCCCCCGGGCAGGGCAGGGCACCCAUCUCCCUCGGGUUUAUUGCAGCUCCCUGCGGUCGCACUAAGCAGCUUUGGGGCACCGAGAUCCAGCGACAGCACAACACGUGGACAGCGCGGCCAGGAAACCCUUGUGGAAGCCUUGGGAACGUAAAUACUCGGUCUAAUCCUCGCAGGGGAUGAGGAGCCGGGGCUGCUGCAGCCGCCAGGGCUCAGCAGAAGCUGCCGGGGCGGGCGGAAGGAAGGAGGGGAGGGAGCUGAGCUGAGCCUCGGCUCAGGUGCAGGCGUGGAGAGCGCCUGACCGCAGAGCCGAGCGCUUCCUCCCCCUCACACCCAGCCCAGAGCGCGGCGGGGCUCGGCCCGGAGCGCCCCUGGCACGCGGGGCUGUGGUGGGCACCGGGCACCGGGCACCGGCAGCGGCCGGAGCCGCCCGAUCCCGGCCAGCAGCACUCACAGCUCUGGGACUGCGCAGCCUGUCCCCAGCAAAGCUGCCCAACCCAAGCCGGAGGAGCUGGGCUGGGCUGGGCUGGGCGCUGGGGGCUGCAAUCCCCUUUGCUGGGCUCAGCACAGCCCCUGCCCACAGGUACAAGUGGCCCUGGGUACCUGCAGGCUCAGCAGGAGGAGCAGCCAAGGAGCACCUGAGGAGUUUCUGCUGGGGACACACACAUACACACAGACCCAGCUCUGAUGCAGAAAAUCCCAUAAUCACCCUCAGCUGCCAAGGAACAGCAUCAGCUCAGGCGCACGGCACUGACCUCAGCAAGGGCUGUGUCAUAAUCCGUUUUUCAGACUGGCCACAACUUCCAGUGCGAGGCAGAGCUGACAAAGGCAGAAGGGCAAAUCCUGGAGCCCAGCUGGCCGAGGCUGAGGGCGGCCAGCCAGCCAAACUCUGCCCUCCUCAUUGCCUGUUCCCGACUGAGUCCCGGGCAGAGCAGAGCUCUCUCAUCCCGCCGGGAUCCGGAGCUGGACGUGCUCUGCAGCUUACCCAGGCUGGGGAGGAAUCGCACCAAACCGUGCUCGUCCCUGGGCAUUUAGUUUUAUUGCGAGCAUUAGCGGUUUGUCUCCUCUGGCAACAGGAGAAGCUGGAAAUGUCAAAGGGGAGGGUUAACAAACUCCGCUG
rnacentral:lncRNA from 1 species